rnacentral:rRNA from 1 species
GCUUACGGCCAUACUACCCUGAAUGCUCCCGAUCUCGUCUGAUCUCGGAGCUAAGCAGGUCAGGCCUGGUUAGUACUUGGAUGGGAGACCGCCUGGGAAUACCAGGUGCUGUAAGCU